UACGUAGGCGGCAAGCGUUGUCCGGAAUUAUUGGGCGUAAAGGGAGCGCAGGCGGGAAACUAAGCGGAUCUUAAAAGUGCGGGGCUCAACCCCGUGAUGGGGUCCGAACUGGUUUUCUUGAGUGCAGGAGAGGAAAGCGGAAUUCCCAGUGUAGCGGUGAAAUGCGUAGAUAUUGGGAAGAACACCAGUGGCGAAGGCGGCUUUCUGGACUGUAACUGACGCUGAGGCUCGAAAGCUAGGGUAGCGAACGGGAUUAGAUACCCGGUAGUCCGGCUCUACU
rnacentral:rRNA from 1 species